rnacentral:lncRNA from 1 species
UCUAUCGCUGUCUCUCUCUCUCCCUCUGGUUCUAUUUCUCCAUCCCUCUCUCCCUUGCUCUCCUUCUGCAGCAGGAGGAGCUGCAGACAGAACCCCUCAGACACCGAGUUGUAGAAGGAAGGGCUUUAUUCAGCUGGGAGCAUCCGCAGACUCACGUCUCCAAAAACCAAGCUCUCCGAGUGAGCAAUUCCUGUCCCUCUUAAGGGCUUACAACUCUAAGGGGGUCCGCGUGAGAGGGUCUUGAUGGAUUGAGGAAGCAGAGGGUACGUGACUGGGGGCUGCAUGCACAGACAACGAGAGCGAAACCACAGAGAAAAGAAACAUCCCGUGCAUCACGGCCUGAUGAUGGAUUCCUGUUUCCUGCAAAAUGGGGAGUCUCCAAUAUAGCCUGUUUGAAAACUGGAAAGGAGAGCACCGACACGAUGCUGGUCUUCCACGCAUUCC